ACGUGCGUGUCAGUCAAAAAUGGGUAGUGUGUAAACUACAUGUAAUUUCAGCUCCGAAAUGCUUUUUUUUUUGUUUGUUUUAAUGAAACAGAAGGCGCUUUUUUUUGUGAAGUUAUAUUUAAAACUCAUCCUGUCAGACCAGUUUGUCAAAUUUCAGGGUUGGUAGCCAGCCAGGUAGCCAUUACGCAGGUAAAGGGAGUGAACAAAACUCCACAAUUGUUUGUGGCGAGGACAGAACAUGGUACAAUAACCAGAAACUGGAAGACCACACGGAAAUAUAUAUUUUUUUUAUCGACAUAGAAGAAUACUGUGAGCGACCUCCAGACGUUUCUCCACUAUGAGUCGGGAGCGAGCAGACUCCCAGGGGUCACUUGGGCCUGACGAUGAGGUCAUGCCAUAUAGUGACGACGAGACGGAUGAUGAGUUGGACCCCGGCUCAGAUGAAGAGCGUCCACAGGUCGAAGAGGCCAAGAGCACCGAGUCUGGUUGGAGAGUCAAGCGAAGACAGGCUUCUG